CUCCUGAAAUCCCGGAUCCCUGCUCUCCUCUUUCCUGCUUCAGCCUGUUGCUGGUGGGCCUUUGUUUCCCAGUUCUGUGCCUGUUGUAUUCUGGAUUGCGCCUGUGCACACGAGGCAGCAGUUUUUUCUGUCCAUUCAAGCCACCCAACAGGAUGCAAGUGAGGAAAGGCGAGGAUACAGGUACCAUGUCACAUGGAAAACUCAUCAAUGAACCUGGAGAUGACAAAAGGAGAGCCUGGAGACCAGGUCUGGAGGGCCAGGAGGAAAAGCUCAACUAGAAAGUGAAAGAGAACACAGGGACAGAGUGUCCCCCACAUCGAUGACUGCAAAACUGAAAAUAAGCUGUGUGUUUCUCUGGACCACAAGCAAUGCCUGCUGCUUUGGAAGAAUUCAGAAGUUGCGAUGCUG